rnacentral:rRNA from 1 species
GGGAUUGCCUCAGUAACGGCGAGUGAAGCGGCAACAGCUCAAAUUUGAAAUCUGGCCCUUUCGGGGCCCGAGUUGUAAUUUGUAGAGAGUGUUUCGGGUGAGACCACGGUCUAAGUCCAUUGGAACACGGUGUCAUAGAGGGUGAGAAUCCCGUAUGUGACCGUGGAUCGAGCCCAUGUGAAGCCUCUUCGACGAGUCGAGUUGUUUGGGAAUGCAGCUCAAAAUGGGUGGUAAAUUUCAUCUAAAGCUAAAUACUGGCUGGAGACCGAUAGCGCACAAGUAGAGUGAUCGAAAGAUGAAAAGCACUUUGGAAAGAGAGUGAAACAGUACGUGAAAUUGUUGAAAGGGAAGCGCUUGCAACCAGACCUGCCCGUAGGCGAUCAGCCGCUGUUCUCAGUGGUGCACUCGCUCUGCGAUCAGGCCAGCAUCGGUUUCGGCGGGCGGAUAAAGGCCUUGGGAAUGUAGCUCCUUUUCGGGGGAGUCUUAUAGCCCUCGGUGCAAUGCGGCCAGCCGGGACCGAGGACCGCGCUUCGGCUAGGAUGCUGGCGUAAUGGUUGUAAGCGACCCGUCUUGAAACACGGACCAAGGAGUCUAACAUCUAUGCGAGUGUUUGGGUGUCAAACCCAUGCGCGGAAUGAAAGUGAACGGAGGUGAGAACCCUUAAGGGCGCAUCAUCGACCGAUCCAGAUGUCUUCGGAUGGAUUUGAGUAUGAGCAUAGCUGUUGGGACCCGAAAGAUGGUGAACUAUGCCUGAAUAGGGUGAAGCCAGAGGAAACUCUGGUGGAGGCUCGCAGCGGUUCUGACGUGCAAAUCGAUCGUCAAAUUUGGGUAUAGGGGCGAAAGACUAAUCGAACCA